CUGGCUUAGUAUGGAGAGAUUUGGCACUUUGGAAUUUUAUCUUAACUUCUACCCUGUCUGGGUGAGAGAGGGGCAGCUCUGUGCUAGAUGCUACAGAACACGACUCUGAACUGUUGGAGAGAAUGGUGAGUUAAAGAUAAAUGCCUACAUGAAGGCCAAGUUAGUGCUAGAAUGUUGGGGGAAAAGAUACCGUCUUCAAGAGGGCACUACCUGGACUCUACUGCUCAUGAGAACACUUAAGCCUGAGGUGUUUCAAAGGGUGAUCCUGAGAGAUGGACGUUCAGAAGUGCUACCUCAUGGAUUCUUGGGUCCCUCAGUCAGUGCUGGUUGCUCCUCAAGAGGUGUCCCCUACAACCACUACACAAUGCUCCUUUGAGGAAAAAAACAACAAUCAACUAGAAGGGCGGGUCCAACCUCAGGACUGGCUUGCCAGAAGACAUGGAUCUUGAGGAAAAGAGUACAGAGUCAAGGCAAGGGGAAAAUGACCAAAUUCCCAAAAUGCUUUAUUGUUUGAUGUUUUAAGACUCAGUAUCCCUGAAGGGUAAAAUAAAUGAUUACUGUGUUUGUCUUUCUUGACAUUCACUUGUGAAUCUUGUGUGUUAA